CUUACCGGACGCAAUUACGACUGGACACAAUUACGAACGAUUUUUAAUGUUUGCCCCCUUAUAUUAUAUUAAUGCAUGAUAAUUAAUAAAUGUUUCUAUUAAUUAAAAACCCACUACAUUACUUGUGUUUUCACGAGAAAAAAAAAGUUCAUGCGCACUUGGUUAAUGUUGCAGACGACGAAAAAUUAAGUUUCGUAAAUGUCAAAAUAAUGACUCCCUCUCUUGGAAAUAACAUGAAUAAAGCACACAAGCUAGUGCAAAUUGCCUUCUUUUGUCAUUAUAUAGAUAGAAAAAUAUCUCCUGAAUCUGUUCAUAUGUGUGAUACCCUUUAUCUUGCCCAAAUAAUCCAAAAA
rnacentral:lncRNA from 1 species